UACGUAGGGUGCAAGCGUUGUCCGGAAUUAUUGGGCGUAAAGAGCUCGUAGGCGGUCUGUCGCGUCUGCUGUGAAAACUCAGGGCUUAACCCUGAGCCUGCUUCCGAUACGGGCAGACUAGAGGUAUGCAGGGGAGAACGGAAUUCCUGGUGUAGCGGUGAAAUGCGCAGAUAUCAGGAGGAACACCGGUGGCGAAGGCGGUUCUCUGGGCAUUACCUGACGCUGAGGAGCGAAAGCGUGGGGAGCAAACGGG
rnacentral:rRNA from 1 species